UGUUUUCUGAAUGACAACAACAGCAACAAGCUUUGAAAAAUUUAGUCCUGAUAUUUUGCUCUUUAAGUCAUAGCCUAGAAGACAAAUUGGAAAUCAAGGAAGCAUUGCAGACAGACAGACCAGCUUCUAUUUCCUUCAACAGUAUGGGUUGAGCUCAACAGAAACCAGCUCUAUAGAUGUUGGUUUCAAGGAAGAAGAGCUAUGAAGUCAGAGAGCUGGGAUGGGAUUCUCCCCACCAGAGCCAUCACCCAUGCUCCUUUCACCAUAAAAAAAGAGAGUAACAUCUCCUGAAGCGACUUGUGAUAGCAUAACAUGCAUCUCAGACACAAUCGCCUUCAGGUGGGGUGAGUUGCCUCUGGAUUAUACAUGGUCUAGGUAACUACUUUGACUAAAAGUACAAGAAUUUACCUCUACCUGCAGUGCCUCUGCAGCGUAGCUCACUCAGGCCCAUGGUGGUCCUCGCUCCUGGCCAUACCCCUGACUCCUCUCCUGAUGGACCUUCUGUCCCUGUGUUCCUUCUGGGCAUGCCCAGCCUCACAUCCCAGUUUCUGUCUCCCAGGUUUGUCUCCUGCCUCACACCAUGCCACCCUUAUUCCGGUUUACAAGGCUGUAGCCUCAGACGUUAUCAUAAAAAAGUGUCCACCGUAAAGAUUUCCCCAUAAAAAAAACCAACUCUGUUCACAAAUAAAUUAAGAAUGUGCUUAAAUCCCAGUGAAAGCAACGGAACAUAAGCAUGUGCUGAAAGCCUUUCCUGAAUGGGGGCCUAUUGCCUUGCUCUUCUUAAAACCUAUUUGAGUUGAGCUCAUAUUUCUUGUUGGCAAGAACUUAAAAAGGAAAGAAGGAAAACACUUUUCCUAUAAAAGUUGAGCUUAAUAGACCACUCUAGUAUCCUUAAUUGCCAUAUUUUUGUGUAUUGAUGUAAAUACUUAUUAAUGGACCUUUCCAAGGAAAAAGUUAUUCAUAUCAAAAGGUAUUUUGUAUCAAAACUACACAGCCAAAUGAGUUUGCACUAUUGUACACCAUUACAUUUUGCAAAGUUAAUUAACCUAGAUGGCUGGAAUGUGGGAGAAUGUUUUGUUUCCAAAUGGAGAGUGAUUACAAUAUACUGGAGGCUGCUGUCUUGCCAACUUCCUUUUAAUCAACUUUUUCUGUAUGGAAUGAAGGCCAUGAAACAUCUUAAAACUGCAAGCAACCUCUUCUCUCAAAAAAAAGA